UACAGAGGGUGCGAGCGUUUGUUCGGAAUUAUUGGGCGUAAAGCGCGUGUAGGCGGCUUUGCAAGUCGGGUGUGAAAUCCCUCAGCUCAACUGAGGAAGUGCGCCCGAAACUGCAGAGCUUGAGUACCGGAGAGGAUGGCGGAAUUCCCGAAGUAGAGGUGAAAUUCGUAGAUAUCGGGAGGAACACCGGUGGCGAAGGCGGCCAUCUGGACGGAUACUGACGCUGAGGCGCGAAAGCCAGGGGAGCAAAGCGGG
rnacentral:rRNA from 1 species